UGUGCGUGGAUUUCAGUAUGAGCAGAGCAGCAAACGCAUACUAGUACUCUGGGUUUGGUGCCAUUAUUCUGAAUUUGGCGAGGACAUUUAUGGAUUGCAUGUGUGAGGUGGAUCGGGUUUGAUCACGUUUUGGGACACGUGCAAGGACUGGCCUCUACCGUAUUUAAUUUCAUUCUAGUGCAAUUCAGAGAGACUGAAUCUUCCGAUAUCUGAACACUGAAUUUGUAUGAAGGUUGUGACCCUUCCUGUACUGAAUUUAUCAGAUUUUGAAAUCGGUGCUUAAUCUCUUGUUUUGUCAAAUAAGCACAACAGAGACGUAACAUUUACAUUAUUUUAUUAAUUAUUUUUUUAUCUGUUAUUUACUCCCAUCGAUCGCUGUCCUUCUGAGAGACAGCCGUCAGAAUAAAGCCCCUAGAAGAUAUUUUGUGUAUCCUGUGCUGCUUCUUUAGAAUCCAUAGGCCACAUUUUGGUACCAGGAGUGGGGUAUCUGACUGUAGGGAGCCUAUAGGUUAUUUUUUUAUUCAUUUUGAAAUACGGUAGAGGUGAAGAUAGGUGCCAGUGGAAAACGGAGUGGAGGCUAACUUCCUGGGUGCAGUUGUCCAGCGAACAGACGUCGGCCGGCUGGAGAUGACCUGGUGAGGUGACGAUACUGCUAGGUGAAAGGAAGAAGAGAGUGCCUUAUCCACUGAGGUCUGCAGCAUGCUUUCUGAGGAGACACCUAUCAAGAGACUGUCUGAAAGGGAAGACAGAAGUAUUCUAUGAACAGUUGAGAACAUAUCCUUUGACUUUAAAACGAUUUCGAACUGAUUCAGAGACUAUUUUUGACCAAAACAACUGUUUUCAUUUUGUUAAACUGAAGAAAAUUUUAUAAAAUGUCACAAUCAGAUGAGGCUCAGGUUUUAC